rnacentral:lncRNA from 1 species
UUUGUAACAUGCUUGAAAGAAGGAACUCAAAUGUACGCUACAACCUUGUGAGACUUGAGCCUAAAUGUUUAUUUGGAGAGUUAAUAUUCUGUGCAUCAUUGUUUUCUAAAGUCGUUGCAUGAUCUCAUUAUUCUUUACUUGGUUGCUACUUAGAAGACGUUUCAUCAUUUAGUUCCAAAUGCUAGAACUCAUGCCUAUUUCAUUCAAAGCAUGUUAUUGAUUUGCAUAACACAUAUUCAAGAUGAAGUUGUUUAGUGAGCCAAGAGCCAAAAAGCCUAUCUCGUUCAUUAUGUGUUUAAGUUUAAUCCCAUUGAGCCUUGUGUAGCCUAUGUUCUUUGUUACCCACACUAUCCUCACCUAGCCUAGAUUAGGACCAUUCAUACCCUUGUUCUUGAAGCAUAGUAAAGCAUAGUUUAGAAAGAAUUCCUUUUGUUGAACUCUUGCAGAAAAACAAGUGUGGGGGAAGUGAUUCUUGUGUGUGUGUGUAUGCCAAAGUCCUUCAUAAGGCACGGGUAGAAAAGAAAAAGAAAAAGAAAAAUUCGUGGAAAAUGAAAUGAAAAGAAAAGAAGUUGUGAAAAGAGUUGAAAAAUAUAUGAGAAAGAACUCUAAAGUGUUGUUUGUUGAAGAAAUGGUCCAAAGCAUUGAAUUCGACCCUAAGUGUUGCAUGAAUCUUCCCUUUGUGUUUAAAAGUUGAUUUUUGCAUUCUAAAGUAAAUUCCAAGUGUUGAUUCCAUUACUUUGCUUGCUAUUGCUUAAGAACGUUUGUUAUCCCUAUCCUUUCUUUGUUAGCCAUUACCCCCAAGUCCCAUUACAACCCUUAACUUCAUCUUGAGUGUUAUGUGUUUCAAUAUGUGGAAUUUGGAAUUGGUAUGAGCAUAUGGUGUCACCGAUUCUCGCAUCUAAGUAGUAGCGUUCCAUUCAUGAGAUCAUAUCUAAACAUGCUGAAUAACUCCAGAAAAUUGCCCUCUUUGUUAUACAUAUAUGUGAGUGUUCCUUUUCAUGUUUACAUCAAUCUUCUCACAUAUAACUAGUGUAGGGUGUGUAGUUAGAAAAUGUGUGUGAAAAUAGAUAGUAUCUUGUAAGGAAUUGAGUAAAUUCUCUAAGGAAUGUUACUACAUUCAAAACAUCGUUUUAAUUGGUUAAUUGUGAACUAGUAAGUGGUGACUAUAAGUAUGUGCUCAAGUGUAAGGAUGACCAAAAUCUGUGGGAAUGAUGAUUUUUAACAUGUCAUAUUUCAUUAAAAACCCCUGAGGCAAUUGUUGGAAGGUCUAGGUUGUGUUUUGUUUUGUUUUGCUCGAUGACUAGUAAAAGCUAAGUGUGGGGGAAUUUGAUAGGAGCAUAUUUAUGCGACUUAGUUAGCUUGUUUCUUGGCAUUU